AUUGAACGCUGGCGGCAGGCCUAACACAUGCAAGUCGAACGAGUGGCGGACGGGUGAGUAAUGUCUGGGAAACUGCCUGGUGGAGGGGGAUAACUACUGGAAACGGUAGCUAAUACCGCAUACCAUCGGAUGUGCCCAGAUGGGAUUAGAUAGUAGGUGGGGGAAAGGCUCACCAAGGCGACGAUCCCUAGCUGGUCUGAGAGGAUGACCAGUCAAACUGGAACGGAAGCACGGGCCAGACUCCUACGGUAGGCAGCAGGGGGGAAUAUUGUACAAGGGGCGCAAUCCUGAUGCAGGCAUGCCGCGUGUAUGAAGAAGGCCUUCGGGUUGGAAAGUACUUUCAGCGGGGAGGCGUUACCCGCAGAAUAAGCACCGGCUAACUCCGUGCCAGCAGCCGCGGUAAUAC
rnacentral:rRNA from 1 species